CCUACGGGAGGCUGCAGUGAGGAAUAUUGGUCAAUGGACGAGAGUCUGAACCAGCCAAGUAGCGUGAAGGAUGACUGCCCUAUGGGUUGUAAACUUCUUUUAUAUGGGAAUAAAAUGUUCCACGUGUGGGAUUUUGUAUGUACCAUAUGAAUAAGGAUCGGCUAACUCCGUGCCAGCAGCCGCGGUAAUACGGGAGAUCCGAGCGUUAUCCGGAUUUAUUGGGUUUAAAGGGAGCGUAGGUGGAUUGUUAAGUCAGUUGUGAAAGUUUGCGGCUCAACCGUAAAAUUGCAGUUGAAACUGGCAGUCUUGAGUACAGUAGAGGUGGGCGGAAUUCGUGGUGUAGCGGUGAAAUGCUGAGAUAUCACGAAGAACUCCGAUUGCGAAGGCAGUUCACUGGACUGCAACUGACACUGAGGCUCGAAAGUGUGGGUAUCAAACAGGAUUAGAUACCCGGGUAGUC
rnacentral:rRNA from 1 species